rnacentral:rRNA from 1 species
GACGAACGCUGGCGGCGUGCCUAAUACAUGCAAGUCGAACGCACAGUUUAUACCGUAGCUUGCUACACCAUACACUGUGAGUUGCGAACGGGUGAGUAACGCGUAGGUAACCUGCCUGGUAGCGGGGGAUAACUAUUGGAAACGAUAGCUAAUACCGCAUAAUAUUAAUUAUUGCAUGAUAAUUGAUUGAAAGAUGCAAUUGCAUCACUACCAGAUGGACCUGCGUUGUAUUAGCUAGUAGGUGAGGUAACGGCUCACCUAGGCGACGAUACAUAGCCGACCUGAGAGGGUGAUCGGCCACACUGGGACUGAGACACGGCCCAGACUCCUACGGGAGGCAGCAGUAGGGAAUCUUCGGCAAUGGACGAAAGUCUGACCGAGAAACGCCGCGUGAGUGAAGAAGGUUUUCGGAUCGUAAAGCUCUGUUGUAAGAGAAGAACGGGUGUGAGAGUGGAAAGUUCACACUGUGACGGUAUCUUACCAGAAAGGGACGGCUAACUACGUG